rnacentral:rRNA from 1 species
GACGAACGCUGGCGGCGUGCUUAACACAUGCAAGUCGAACGGAAAGGCCCUGCUUUUGUGGGGUGCUCGAGUGGCGAACGGGUGAGUAACACGUGAGUAACCUGCCCUUGACUUUGGGAUAACUUCAGGAAACUGGGGCUAAUACCGGAUAGGAGCUCCUGCUGCAUGGUGGGGGUUGGAAAGUUUCGGCGGUUGGGGAUGGACUCGCGGCUUAUCAGCUUGUUGGUGGGGUAGUGGCUUACCAAGGCUUUGACGGGUAGCCGGCCUGAGAGGGUGACCGGCCACAAUGGGACUGAGGGACGGACCAGAAUCCUACGGGAGGCAGCAGGGGGGAAUAUUGCGGAAUGGGCGGAAGUCUGAUGCAGCAACGCCGCGUGCGGGAUGACGGCCUUCGGGUUGUAAACCGCUUUCGCAUGUGACGAAGCGUGAGUGACGGUAAUGGGUAAAGAAGCACCGGCUAACUACGUG